CAAUCUACAGAGUGGAUCCUCUUCAAAAGCAAAUCCAGACUCUUCUAAUCCCACCAGUUCAUCAGGAUCCAGGAGUGUCAGCUUAAGAUUCAUGUGCUGACAUUCAGGGUCAGGAGGUCAGAGCUCCCUGAGGGAUUUCCAGACAAAGAUGGAGCUCCUUCAUCUGUGUGUCAUUAGCUCAGUCUUCACAAAGCAGCAAACAGCGGUCUUCUCUGCUGCAUGAAUCGCUGCCACGGUAGAAGCAGCAGCAGAGUGGACGUCUUCACUGAGAGCCGUGCUCUCCUGUGGCAGCUGCUCUUCGAUGGUCUUCGAUGAGCUGAUGGUUGUGAGAAGGACUGAAGAAGAGGUCGUGAUCCUCCUGAAAGAAAUGAGGCAGCACUGGACGUCUGACAGGCAGAGGGAGCU